rnacentral:rRNA from 1 species
UACGUAGGGCGCGAGCGUUGUCCGGAUUUAUUGGGCGUAAAGAGCUCGUAGGCGGCUUGUUGCGUCGGCUGUGAAAUCCCGUGGCUUAACUGCGGGCUUGCAGCUGAUACGGGCGGGCUGGAGUUCGGUAGGGGAGACUGGAAUUCCUGGUGUAGCGGUGAAAUGCGCAGAUAUCAGGAGGAACACCGGUGGCGAAGGCGGGUCUCUGGGCCGAUACUGACGCUGAGGAGCGAAAGCGUGGGGAGCGAACAGG